CCGACGCCCAGUUUUAGUAGUCAGACAAUCACAGGUACCAAACCUUGGCCCAUGUGAAGCACUUUUUGCUUAUGUGGCAAGCCUGUGUGGAGCUGGCAGUCUUGAUUCAAGCAGCAGGAAGGCAGCCGGUUUUUACCUGCACGUGACCAACCACAAUCCUAAACCUUCUAAAAAACUACAAAAUAAAAUGAAGACGACAAGGAAAAAUUGUGUGGUCCUUGAGUAAAACCCAGUCAUAUAACACUGCAAAGACUCUGCUAUCCACCACUGCUAGUGAGGCAAGCACCAACAGCUAGCAUUUUUAAAUCACGCUUGAAAACUCACUACUUCAACCUAGCUUAUACAACAUAAUUAUGACCAUCACUUACAUCUGCAUUGUUUAAAAAUGGACUUUACAAUAUCGUCAUUCCGUACUAUUGAGGUUCUUUUAAAAUGUUUUUCUAAUUUUUAUUCUCCCUGUGUCUUAUUGAUUUUUAGCUGUUAGUUUUUGGGAAUUUUGUUGCAUUUCCUUUUUAUCUUUUAUCUGUGUUCGACAUGUUUGUAUACCGCCUGUUUAAUUAACUAACAUUUUUAGUGUACAGCGCCUUGUUUGGUUGUAAUGCCUUGUGAAUGCGCUUUAUAAAUAAAAUUGAAUUGAAUUGAAUCCCUUUCAAGCGAGGAUUCUACACAAUUUAAGGCAAGACUUGACAUUGUGUAAGAGAAAUUGCUUUUUCACAUACAACAGAAUCAUACGAUGACAUGUGUGAACAACACUAAACACUGAUUCAUACCUUUUGCUUUCUGCAGCAGCUGGAUUAGAUUUUUUCACUGCGGGCUCCAGGACCUCGAGGUGGCGGAAGCGGCGUUUGCGACAUGGAGCCACAUCAGUGAUGUCACGCAGACCCAGAGGGCUCGGAGUAGAGGAUUCUAAGGAGGGAAACGGUGUGAAAUAAAAACUGAAGAAAAUUCCUACAUUCAGACCAUUAAAUAUAGAUAAUUUUACUAUAUAGAUAAUACAACUAUCUCCGCAAUAACUUAAAGGGACUAUAUCAUGUAAAAUUCAUUUUGACCAUGUUAUAUUGUUAUUUCUUCUUCAAAACACCCUGGGACAGUUUUUGGCUUGACACAUGCAUUUUACCGUCUCAGGUACAGCUACUCUUCAGCUCUGCUAUGGCAUUGGAAAUAGCUGGUUGGGGCUGGUUUGCAUAAUCCUUACCACACUCCUCCCCAACCAGGGAGUCUCGGGUCCAGAUCCCGCCUCCCCUGGACUGUGAACACUAACGCCCAGGCUAUCCAUGUAGCCAGAGGAUAGAAUAAUCUCCACAGUUGUGAAAAAGUGAUUUAUUUUUGUCUUGUCUGCCACUACCAGAGUGGGUUUGCAGAAUCAUUGCUAGAAUAGAAUUAUUAUCUUCAGAACUGCGCUGUUCUAAAGUUAAAACAACCCAAUGGGUAGGCAUGAAAUGUGAGGACAACCAAAAUGCUAACCAUUCAGCUAGUGGUUAUCAAGUUUGGUGGGUCAAAGACAGACUGGGACAAUAAUUAAUCCCAGUAGCUUUUCCCCUGUGUGGGCAGUGUUUGUUAAUGUUCCGUUAACGGCUUCUCAGACAGACAAAAUAGGGAGUGGGAUAGGAUGAGGGUGUCAAUCUGCAUGGUUUUCCAGCUUUUUUCUUUGCUGUGGCUCAUGCCGCUUGGAGAUUUAGGGUUAUGUAAUGAAAUGGGUGGAAUUCACACAGGUGGCAGCAGUCAUAUGUCCCUGUUCAGACGCUCUACUCCAAGAACCAGCUGCUGCUUUUGGCUACCAGAACUGUGCUGAAGCGUUCUUGGUAGUGGGUCUAAACUUGUAGAAUGCACUUCCCUUAUUUGUUAGGCUCUGCUCGUCAGUAGCGGCUUUUAAAAUGAGGCUGAAGACCUACUUUUAUAAUCUGACUUUUAACUCUGUUGGUUAGCUGUUGCUAUUAUUUUAGAUGAUUUUACCUUGUAAUUGUUACUUGUUGGUUUGAAUUUUCUCUGUUGGUUUUUAUCUGUCUUUAUUCUAUUUUGUACAGCACUUUGGUGACAUGUCUGGUGCUUUAUAAAUAAAGGCUGGGUUGAGUUA